GAUGAACGCUGGCGGCGUGCCUAAUACAUGCAAGUAGAACGCUGAAGGAAGGAGCUUGCUCUUUCCGGAUGAGUUGCGAACGGGUGAGUAACGCGUAGGUAACCUGCCUGGUAGCGGGGGAUAACUAUUGGAAACGAUAGCUAAUACCGCAUAACAGUAGAUGUUGCAUGACAACUAUUUGAAAGGGGCAAUUGCUCCACUACCAGAUGGACCUGCGUUGUAUUAGCUAGUUGGUGAGGUAACGGCUCACCAAGGCGACGAUACAUAGCCGACCUGAGAGGGUGAUCGGCCACACUGGGACUGAGACACGGCCCAGACGCCUACGGGAGGCAGCAGUAGGGAAUCUUCGGCAAUGGACGGAAGUCUGACCGAGCAACGCCGCGUGAGUGAAGAAGGGUUUCGGAUCGUAAAGCUCUGUUGUAAGAGAAGAACGAGGGUGAGAGUGGAAAGUUCACACUGUGACGGUAUCUUACCAGAAAGGGACGGCUAACUACGUG
rnacentral:rRNA from 1 species